rnacentral:rRNA from 1 species
UACAGAGGUCCCAAGCGUUGUUCGGAUUCACUGGGCGUAAAGGGUGCGUAGGUGGUCGGGUAAGUCUGAUGUGAAAUCUCCGAGCUCAACUCGGAAAUGGCAUUGGAAACUACCUGGCUGGAGGGUUGGAGGGGGGACUGGAAUUCUCGGUGUAGCAGUGAAAUGCGUAGAUAUCAAGUGGAACACCAGUGGCGAAGGCGAGUCUCUGGACAUUUCCUGACGCUGAGGCACGAAAGCCAGGGGAGCAAACGGG